GGGCGGGGGCACGGGGGGACUCCUACGGGAGGCAGCAGUCGGGAAUUUUGGGCAAUGGGCGAAAGCCUGACCCAGCAACGCCGCGUGAAGGAUGAAGUCUUUCGGGAUGUAAACUUCGUAAGAAUAGGAAGAAUAAAUGACGGUACUAUUUGUAAGGUCCGGCUAACUACGUGCCAGCAGCCGCGGUAAUACGUAGGGACCAAGCGUUGUUCGGAUUUACUGGGCGUAAAGGGCGCGUAGGCGGCGUGUCAAGUCAAUUGUGAAAUCUCCGAGCUUAACUCGGAACGGUCAAUUGAUACUGAUGUGCUAGAGUGCAGAAGGGGCAAUCGGAAUUCUUGGUGUAGCGGUGAAAUGCGUAGAUAUCAAGAGGAACACCUGAGGUGAAGACGGGUUGCUGGGCUGACACUGACGCUGAGGCGCGAAAGCUAGGGUAGCAAACGGGAUUAGAUACCCCGGUAGUCCUAGCCCUAAACGAUGAAUACUUGGUGUCUGGAGUUUUAAUUCUCCGGGUGCCGUCGCUAACGUUUUUAGUAUUCCGCCUGGGGAGUACGCACGCAAGUGUGAAACUCAAAGGAAUUGACGG
rnacentral:rRNA from 1 species